AUAAGAUAAUUCAUUGAGCAUUAAUCAAAAAUGAAAGAUAAAUGUUAUUGAAUGUUUCAUGUUUUCUUAUAAAAAGUAGUUUAUGAAUUGCUUAAUAACUGCAAGUAUUGAAUUUUGGAGAAUUUUAUUUAUUUUUGACUUUGUCUUUUUAACCAAAGACUAGUAAACAAUGAUGCCAUUACAAAGAUCUCUGUGUCACUUUAUGCUGCCUUUCAACCAGUGGUUACUAAAUGGCAGGACAUUUCAGUGCCUAUUGCAGCUACCCACACUAUGGUGGGAUCAACUAAAAACAAGACUCGAUAAAUCAGGCAUAGACUCUCUUGAAAAAUCUGAUUGUACAAGACCAGGAAUUGAAUCUGACAUCCAAGAUAAUAGCAAUUGUUUUAUCAUGUGGCCAUCUUGAAGAAUGGAAGUUGAAGGACUGGAUUCAGAUUUCAUUUAAAAGCAUGUGUUUAUAUAGGAUCCAGAAAGUAAGCAUAAUGUUCAUUUCCUUGUUCAUCUUCAUGUAGAAGGAAGUGCAUUUGUUACGAGUGUAUAUAGAAAACCAAUAACUGAAGAAGUCAUAAUACCAAGCUGGUCUCAAGAUAGAUGGCAGCACAAAAAA
rnacentral:lncRNA from 1 species